rnacentral:rRNA from 1 species
UGCCUUAACAUGCAAGUCGAACGGCAGCACGGGAGCAAUCCUGGUGGCGAGUGGCGAACGGGUGAGUAAUAUAUCGGAACGUGCCCAGUCGUGGGGGAUAACGUAAAGAAAUUUACGCUAAUACCGCAUACGAUCUAAGGAUGAAAGCGGGGGACUCUGCAAAGAGCCUCGCGCGAUUGGAGCGACUGAUAUCAGAUUAGGUUGUUGGUGAGGUAAAAGCUCACCAAGCCGACGAUCUGUAGCUGGUUUGAGAGAACGACCAGCCACACUGGGACUGAGACACGGCCCAAACUCCUACGGGAGGCAGCAGUGGGGAAUUUUGGACAAUGGGCGAAAGCCUGAUCCAGCAAUGCCGCGUGUGGGAAGAAGGCCUUCGGGUUGUAAACCACUUUUGUACGGAACGAAAAGGUCUGCCCUAAUACGGCGGGCCCAUAACGGUACCGUAAGAAUAAGCACCGGCUAACUACGUGCCAGCAGCCGCGGUAAUACGUAGGGUGCGAGCGUUAAUCGGAAUUACUGGGCGUAAAGCGUGCGCAGGCGGUGAUGCAAGACAGUUGUGAAAUCCCCGGGCUCAACCUGGGAAUUGCAUCUGUGACUGCA